GAAGGUGGACAGCUUUUCUCUUCCACUAUGUCAAACCCAUUUUGUCACUCCCAUUACAUCACUCCUGUUUUGUAGGAUCCUUCAAAUGUUGCUAAGAAAUGCACCCUUCAAUUCUGAGAAUUCAUAGGACUCAGCCGGGGGAAUUCUUCCAGACCUCAAUUCUUUGUGAGCAGCACAAGUUUUGGAAAAUGGCAGAAACAUGUGCAAGUGGGCAAGAUGCUGUGGCAGCUAAUGACCAAGCAAUAAGGGUAUGGAGAGAGUGAUGGAGGAGCCAACAGGGAGGACGAGAAAGAGGAUUUCACUGCUGGCGGAUAACCAUGGGGACUAUUACACACUGACUACUUCACCCCAGAGGCCUUAAUUGAACACAGUGUCCGGGAUGUGACCCAAAACCCUGCUCUUCUGCUGCUUUCCAGCUCCAUCUCAGCGCUAGCGGUGAAAGCCAGAGAGCUCCGCAAUGUGGCACAGAACAUCACAAAAAGCACAAACACACCCUUUUACUCUUUCUGCUCCAUUCCAAGUCCAGCCAGGGAGUCAUUACGGAGCAAAUGUUGCUCUUAUAGCCACUGAUUUCACUUUUGUGGCCUGAGGCGUGCAUCAGGGAAGGCUUUUAGGCUUUUGCUAGAUGAAAAUGCACUGAAGCUCCAGAUGCAGUCUGGAUUUGUUCAGCCUGUGAUAUGAAGUACAGAGCUUUACACGGACGUUGUUUGUAUGAGAGUGUAUGUGGGGGUGUAUGUGUGUACUAGGGAUGUGCCUGUGUACUCAAGUUCUCAGGGGUUCCAGUGGUCUAAUGCUGAAAUCACUGUUUGCGUAAUUGUUACGUUUAAUCACGGGAUGUCAGAAAAAUGUACAGGUGAACAAUUCAGUGAACUUUAAUUUUAUGUUUCACUUGUAUUUGUGAGCAAAUAUGUACAUCAUAUUACACUUUGCUGCUGUGAAACAUUCGAUUUGUAAAAAAAAUGCUUUUUGCUAUGGAUUCAUUCUGAGGGCAAAGAGUCCUAAUCAGCUUCAAGCAUGAUAUCAAAUAGCUCAUUUUAGCUCAUGAAAUAUAUAUACAUACAUACAUAUAUAUGCUUGAAUAUAACAUUUAGUCAGAAUGCAUAUUCCUAGUGUAUGUGAAGAAGCAUAAGUUGUGUAUAUGGGAUGUAUAGGUAUGUAUAUGUCAGAGAUGUUCAAAGAUCAAUUCAUGCGAAUCUAGGGUGAGAAGUUUCAUUAAGUUUUAAGCUUAUGAAGUGGUCUAUAUCUUGCUAAAGUUUCAGCCAGAUUAGUUGCCAAUUUCUGGUAUAUUUGCUGUUGUUUUAUUCUUGCUAUUCAAAUUACACACAGGCCAAAAGUUUCAAGUUGUUUUGCCUUGUUUUAAACAUUUUUUUUGCAUAAACUUCCAUCACAAUGAAGGUUUUUAAUAAUGAAAGACUUACUUGUUAUAUGAAACUGUAUCAAACCUGAUGCCGCUGCGAGCUGCAGGAGAACAGCACUGCAAUCAGGACUGCAUGAUCAUAGCAAUACAUACAGGCAAAGGUGCACAAGCAAGAUUGG